UACGUAGGUGACCAGCGUUGUCCGGAUUUACUGGGCGUAAAGAGCGCGCAGGCGGUCGUUCAAGUCGAGUGUGAAAGCCCCCGGCUCAACUGGGGAGGGUCAUUCGAUACUGAUCGACUCGAAGGCAGGAGAGGGAAGCGGAAUUCCCGGUGUAGUGGUGAAAUGCGUAGAUAUCGGGAGGAACACCAGUGGCGAAGGCGGCUUCCUGGCCUG
rnacentral:rRNA from 1 species